CUGCAUUUGCUAAGGAAGGAAUAAUGUUCUUGCUUUGUAGUCAGGUGUGCCUGGCAUCCCUGGCUCCCAGAGCACUUGCAGCCAGGGAGCACGGAACAGGAAAGUGACAGUUGUGAAGAAGCGCUGGUGGUGGUCAUGUUAUGGUGAUUUGUAGGGUUGGUGACAGCGAGGGGCCUCUGCGGCCCAUGGAAGCCAUGGAGCUUCAGAGACUGUAAAGCAAAACCACACUUGGCUGGGAAUCAAGUCCUGAAGACUUUACCCAGUUCUUAACCAGUCCUUGUGCAAGAGAAGAGCAUCUUGGGUGCAGAUAUUACAGAAGUCUGCAAAGCAGAAGAACACCAAGAGAGCAAAGGCAGGAGCUGCACCCGUGGCGGCGUUCAGCUGCCAGGCCUUCGCACCUCGGGACGGCCGCUGCGAUAGCAGCACGCGAGGAACGAGAUGCGCUGGAGGUGAAUCGUGCUGCAGAUGGAUGCUGAGCGUCGUUUGGGGACAAAGAGAUGCAGAUGUCUCGGCUGGAUGGAGCAGCAAUGGGAGGGACAGGACUCUUGUUGAUUUGUUCAAAGUUGCCUCUGCAGUGGACAGUCUUAGGAAGCCACGGCCAGGUGAUGAA